UUGAAGCACUGAUUCCCGUAUGAUCACCGAAGUUAAGCAAACUCGAACCUGAUCAGUACCUAGAUUUGUGACCGCUUGAGAAUUCCAGGUGCUGUAA